UACGUAGGGGGCAAGCGUUGUCCGGAUUUAUUGGGCGUAAAGCGCACGCAGGCGGUCUCUUAAGUUUCGAGUGACAGGUCAGGGCUUAACCCUGGCAGGCCUUGGAAAACUGGGGGACUUGAGGGCUUCAGAGGGACGCGGAAUUCCAGGUGGAGCGGUGAAAUGCGUAGAUAUCUGGAGGAACACCGGUGGCGAAGGCGGCAUCCUGGACCGGUAUUGACGCUGAGGCGCGAAAGCUAGGGGAGCAAACGGG
rnacentral:rRNA from 1 species